rnacentral:rRNA from 1 species
GAUGAACGCUGGCGGCGUGCCUAAUACAUGCAAGUCGAGCGAAGCGGGGAGGGGUGUGAAACACGUGGAGAACACCCCUUAAGACUGGGAGAACUUCGGGGAACCGGAACUAAUACGGAUAAUUAUAGAUGGAGCCGUGCGGCAUUAGCUAGUUGGUAAGGUAACGGCUUACCAAGGCAACGAUGCAUAGCCGACCUGAGAGGAUGAUCGGCCACACUGGAACUGAGACACGGUCCAGACUCCUACGGGAGGCAGCAUUAGGGAAUCUUCCGCAAUGGGCGAAAGCCUGACGGAGCAACGCCGCGUGAGUGAUGAAGGUCUUCGGAUCGUAAAACUCUGUUAUUAGGGAAGCGGUACCUAAUCAGAAAGCCACGGCUAACUACGUGCCAGCAGCCGCGGUAAUAC